AGUAGAAUCCAUCAUGGUUUUGUUGUUUUGUAGUGUUUACGUUUUUAUUGAUGCUAAAAUUAUGUAUUUAAUGCGAUCCAAGAUCGGUCUCACAUAGGUUUGGCGGACUUUCGUAUCGACCGUUGUGUUUGUGUUCGGCGUACGGUGCUCGCCAUGUAUUCGAAAGGCAAGGGGUCGUCGGUGCCGUCGGACGCACAAGCCAGAGAAAGGUUAGCGCUUUAUGUUUACGAAUACCUAUUGCACACAGGUGCCUCCAAAGCGGCGCAAACGUUCCUUAGCGAGAUUCGCUGGGACAAAAACAUCACUCUAGGUGAGCCACCCGGGUUCCUCAGCUCUUGGUGGUGCGUAUUUUGGGAUCUGUACUGCGCGGCGCCCGAACGCCGCGACAACUGCGAACAUUCCAGUGAAGCCAAAACAUUCCACGACUAUGGUUUCGUUAAUCCAACCAAUUACAACCCCGGUGGCGUCAAUGGCAUUGGACACAACACUGGACCGUCCCCUGGGCCGAUGGGCCCAAUGCCACCUAACGAUUCAAUCCCUCCCGGACCCGGAAUGCCGCCAAGUUUUUUCAACAACUCAAACAUGAGACCGUCACCUACUCAUCCUGUAUCACAAUCAAGCCCUCAUCCACCACCCAAUGCUCCCCACAAUCAAAUGAUGAACCAGCCUUUUAUGGGCCCUAGGUAUCCCGGUGGCCCUCGGCCCGGUGUAAGAAUGCCACCUCAUAUGCCUAAUGAUUUUAAUAGCCCAAAUCAACCCAUGAUGAAUAAUAUGGAUAUUAUGCGUCCUGGACCGCCAGUUAUGAAUCCUAGAAUGAAUCUAUCACGGGGUGGCUAUGGUCCUCCAAUGCGAGGAAUGCCUCCUGGUAAUGUUAUGGGUCCCGGCCCUGGCCCUGGAAUGCAUCCUGGUAUGGGCAUGGGUCCAGUUGGUCGACCUCAAUGGACACCGGGUAAUCCAAAUCAUCCGAUGAGUUAUACAUCUUCAUCACCUGGAAAUUACCCUCAAGGCCCCCCCGGUCCUGGUACACCAUUGAUGGCGAGUCCUCAAGAUUCAAACUCUGGUGGUGAAAAUAUGUACACAAUGAUGAAAUCUGUACCUGGCGGUAGUAUGCCAGGUGAAUUUUCGAUGGGAAAUCCUGACUCUGCAGGACCAUUAGGUCCAAUGGGACCAAAUUCAAUGGGCCCUGUAAUGAAUGGUGAUGGUAUUGAAGGUAUAAAACGAUCUCCGCCUGAUGGGCCAAGCACACCAAGAGAUGAUAGUGGUAGUGGUAUGGGUGAUUAUAACCUAGGAGGAUAUGGUGGACCUGUGGACAACGAUCAAAAUGAAUCUGCGGCAAUAUUGAAAAUUAAAGAAAGUAUGCAGGAAGAAGCAAAAAGGUUUGAAAAAGAUUCUGACCACCCAGAGUAUUACAUACCAUAAAAGUUGCAGGCAUUUUAAAAGCAACUCAUCAUCUCUGGUAUUUAGAAAAAAUUCUUGCCAAAAUGUAUGUAUAUUUAUAUUAUUACUUAUUAUUUAUCACUUAAAGGUUUAAAGAUUACUUAAUAUCAUUGUAAAUAGUUCCCAGCGUGUCAUGUGAAAACGCUGUCAAUAUUAUGUGCUUCUUGUAUUUUGUUAUUUCUUUUAUAGUGUUUUAAGACAUUUCUGUGGAUCACCUUUAAUCUUGUAUGUUAUAUUUUAGAUUAUCGGAAUUUAGAUUUAUAACUUAUGUAACCAAAGGAGUAUUUCAUAAUUAUCCGUUUUGGGCCUACAGCUAAUUACCAUUAUUGCAAUGCAAGUUAUUAUAAUUUGUCCCCUAUGGAAAAAUGGACAUAAUAUUUAUUUCAAUGCUUAAUCAAUAUUUUGAAUAAGAAAAAACAUUAACUUACUCCAAGCAAACUGUUUAUUGAUUAUAAACGAUUACCUAUUUAAAACAGCAUUUAUAAUCAACAAUAAACAUUAAUGCAUUAUAAAUAUAGUUCUCCUCUAAAUAAUAUACAAAUUAAAAAUAGCUAAAUUUACCAUUUGGUAUUUUUGAUCUUAUUAUUAAAAUUAUGUUAAUUUUUUUAAAGUGAUGAAUAUUAAGUAUGAAUUUACUUAAUAGUUAUAAAUGCAUUAAAGUUAUUCAUAUUUUUUUUCUCCUGAGGAACAUGUAAACACUGAAAUUAUUGUUGAAGUUUCAAUCCAAAAAAACCUACCGUGUAUAUGAUUUAAAAAGAAAUUUAGUAUUUUCAUGCUUGUUCUGUAAAAAAAUGACAAGUGAUGAGAGUUUAAUUUAUUUUUUAUCGAAUAUUGAUAUUCGUUUUGUGAUGACAUGUGCUUAAACCUUGCAUAAUGUCUCUUUUUGCAUACCUACAAAUUUAUAUGAUAAUCAGUAAUCUCUAAUUAGUAAAACAACUUAAAAAUAUCCUUGAAAUUUUUGGUUGGGAUACCAGUUAAUUUUAACAAUUAGAGGGCUUUAUUCAGAUUUAUUAUGCCCAUAAUUUUAAUUAAUUUUAAAUUAUUACACACUUUAUUUAUUUUUGUUUGAAAUGUAUGUAUAAGACGAGGGAAAUGAGAAAGAUGUAAGAUGAUUCUCUUAUAGACUCAUCACAUUAUCCUAGAGUGUACCAUAAAUUUAUAUUGUAUAUUAAUUUUAACAUUUAAUCUAUUUUUAAACCAUUUUCGUCUUUGUGUAUGUAUGUUGCUGACUUAGUGAGAGGACAACUUAAAAUUUGUUGUUUAAUUUGCAUGAAAUUUUUUUUUUUAAGAAUUAUGUAAAACGCUCUACUGCGUUCUGAUAUUGUUCUUAUUUAGUGUUAUAAAAUAUUGUUCUUAAUGUUUUUUCUACAUAGUGUGACUAUAUUUUCCCAACCAAACCCUGUCCAUAAAUAUUUUCUUCUUAAAGCUUGAUGCAAAUAAUUAAUAAUUUUUUUUUUUUAAUUAGUUAAGUUAAUAUCUAAGUAUUCAAUAUUUGUAUAGUAUUAAAAGUAGUAUAGACAUUAUUAUUUAUUAUACUGAUAUAAAAAUAAAAUAUAUAGUUUGGCUCAAAUGUUUAAAGCGCUUUAAAUAUACGCGCAGAUAAUUU